GAAGGGAAAGGAGGAGUACUCAGAACCCAGUUUCUCAAGUUGAGGUUGGAAACAGUGAAAUGAUAAGAAUUAUUUAAUGGGUUGAGUAAUAAUAUUUAGUAUGGAACCCUAAAUAUUUUGAUAAAUGUGACUAGUCGUAAGAAUCCUUCGCCUGCCGGCUGGGAUUCAAUCUCAAGGAUUUAUUUUUGAUUUGUAAACAAUAUGCGGGUCCAAUGUCGUAGCUAAGAAUUGGUUUAUACGUCAACAUGAAUAGCAGGAAAGGGACCACCAAGGACCCCUCGGAGGGGAUCCGACAGGUCCUGGGCAAGCACACCAAGAUCCUGCUCAAGGUGCCCGUCAAGAUGGAGAGGAGCGGAGGGGAUAAGACAGAUAACAGAGUGAUUGUGAUCACCCCCCACCGGCUUUAUGUGAUGACCAACAAGAUCCCGACAAAAAUAGAUCAACAUUUUCAUUUUCUUGAUAUUAGCGGGAUCGAGUCAAAGAAACCGAAUCAAGUUGUUUUCAAGAUUCAUGAAAAAACUUAUAGUUUUCGUCCCGCCGUUGAAACUUCAGGUUCGGAGCAGAUCGACGAGAUUAUUAUCACUCUGGCUAAGGCGGUUCGGAGCAUUUUCCCUGGAGUUCUUCUUGCAAACGUUAUUCCUAAGAUUGAAGUAGUCCCUGUGAAGCGUAUCCAACCUAUUCUCGAGAUGAAACCCCUGGAUUACAAGGAUAUGGGACCCUGCGGGGGGUUCUCAUCACAGUACGCCUGCUACUGCGACUACUACAGCAUGCCCUAUAGAGAGGAGGUUGCCUGGGACGUAGAUACGAUAUAUUUUUCCCAUGACUCACAUGAGCUAUCCCUCACUGAUUUUGAGCACCUGGAGCAGAGAGAUCUUAUCUGUAUCAUCUCCGCCCUGGAGCACAACACAUGGUUCAAUAAGCUCAGCGCCUCGACUAAUUCGACCAAAAUGGCCGCUGAGGUCAUUGAUAAAAUCCUCUCUGUAGUUUCAAAAUCUAUUUCUCUUCAGGAAAUUUACUUGUCUAGCGCGGGCCUCCGGUGGGAUUUCUUCCAGAGGUUAGCCUCGUGUAUGACCUCCAAUCAGUAUUGCAACCUCACAACAAUCGAUAUUAGUCUAAACUUUGUAGAGGACAAAGGACUGACCUCGCUUUCGACCGCACUUAGCCAUUUCCCCCGCGGUCCUCGCCACCUUAACCUCGCCCACUGCACCCUCUCUGGGAAGGCAACGAACACCCUGGCCCAGGCCCUCAUCACAAACAAGCUGAGCUUGAACUCCCUGACCUACCUGAACCUCUCCGGGAACUCGCUACGGGAGGAUGUCCAAAUUUUGGCCAACUUUCUCGCCCAGCCAAACGUUAUUUCCAUCCUAGAUCUGUCCUCGACAGAUAUUCCGUCAGAAAUACUUUUCAGUGCCUUAGUUCGAGGAUGCACCCUUCAUCUCUCCCAUCUUAACCUCGCCAGGAACCCAUUCUCCGCUAGAAAAUCCAAGGGAGAUAUCCCGGCCUCAUUUAAACAAUUCUUCGCCACCUCAGUAUGCUUGAAGUACCUAAACAUGUCCCAGGGUAAGCUCCCUGUGGAGGCCCUGAAGCACCUGCUCCUAGGGUUAGCCUGCAACGAAGGGAUCAAGGACGUGGAGCUGAAUAUCUCCAAUAACAACCUGGGGGCCGGGGGCGCUACAGUCAUGGAGAACGCGCUACCCGGAGUCAAGUGUGUCAGUAGAUUAGAUAUAUCGGAGAAUAAUCUUGAUGUAGAGCUUGCCAUCGUCGUCAAUGGUGUGGCGAGAAUGCGAUCCCUGCUCAGUUUAAAUAUUUCUAAAAAUCUUCCAAAAAUCAAGGCCCGUGAUGUCAUUCAUGUCAUGGACGCAAUAGUUCAAUUAAUUCAGGAUGAGGAGAGUGGGCUACAGAAGCUAAAUCUGUCAGAUUGUAAGCUUAAGACUGAUCUAAACAAUGUGAUCAAUGCACUGGGUUCUAACCAGUGUAUCCAGAUCCUGGAUAUAAGUGGGAACGGGACCGGAGAUGUCGGAGCAAGAUUACUUGCUAAAGCUCUUCAGAUCAACACCAGGCUCCGAACCAUCUACCUGGAUAGGAACCAGAUCAGUUUACAGGGAUAUCAGGAUAUUACAUACGCCCUUCAAUCCAACUACAGCAUGCGUCACAUUCCCUUCCCUACCUACGACCUUCAGGCUCCGAUGAAAGCGUAUCCUGAGCGUGUUGACGCAAUGGUUCGGAGAAUGCAAGAUUAUCUCCAGAGGAACUCCAACCCUCGGAGCUAUGCGUCCAGGGGGAAGAAUUUUAGAUUAACCCAGGGGUUCCUGUUAAGUUCUACACAGCAGGUUCUAGAUCGUUGGAGUGCUCAGGUUCAGGAUACAAUACAUUCUACUAGAAUAGAGACAAGUGAGAACACAGAGGAUAUGGAUAGAGCCGAGGGAUAUACUCGGGAUGCAGAGCAAUGUAAACUCCUCCUCUCCUCCCUCCACGAGACAGCAGCUACAAGAGAUCUAGCAGAGUGUCCGGUUCAGAAGAAACUAGCAGAGAUCUCCAAUGAUCUUGAAUCCUUUCUCUUCUCCCAUAUUGAGAAGAGUGUCUCCUCUAUGCUAGCUGUUGCUGUGGAACGGUGUCCAACCGUCCUUGCCUCGAACUCGCGGAGUUUGUCAGAUUUAAAAAGUUUGACGGACUCCAAGUCCAAGAUGCCCCCGGAGUACGUUAAAAACCUGGUCUACGACACCCUAGGCUACGAGAUCACGAGCAAGGUGAACGAGAUGAACCUGAUUAUCGCCAACCAUAUCUCAGAUAAGGUGAUCGAUGACGUGAUAGACGGGUUGGCUCGGAGCUACAAAUCCAUGGUGGGAGAUCUUGGAUCCUUCAGGAAGAAACGUUCCCUUACCCCGGACGUUCUAAAGAGUUCUGGUGGCAGGACUGAGAGCGAGAGUGAGAGUUUAUCCCUGGGAGGAGGAGACAAUGCGUCCGAGCACUCCUCCUCUCCCCUCUGCACACCGCACAUCACUAAACGGAAAUCCAUCCAUGACAGGAAACUCCGACCUAAGUCUGUGGUCGACCAGGACGGAUCUACUCCAGUUAAAAAGCCCUGGAAGAGUGUUUUAGAUCUUCUCCCCGGUAUGAAGGAUGAGGAUGAGGUAGAGGAUCGGGUUCCGGAGCUCCCUGAGAUACCCCAGCUUCAACACCUAGCUAAAAAUAGACCUCGGAGACCCAAGAGACAUGCGUCCUCAGGCUCUAUAGGACAGGUCGUUGGAACUGAAGCAGAUGCUGGAGAUCUUAAGGAAGGUUUGGAUAACUUCUUCACCAAGAACGUGUCUCCGAAACUUACUCCGGUAGGGAGUCCGCUCCUGGAAGAGGGUUUACACAACUCUAGACACGGAUCCAUCUCCUCCAACUCCUCCUCCUUCUCCAGGUCCAGGGAGGAUAUCAGGGACACUAAACAUGUUCUCAAGGGCGGAAGUGGGAAAGUUAGUCCUCUAACACUAGACCCUGGAGGACGGAAAUCUCCGGCAGAACCUGAGGAUAAACCACGGAUAGGACUCUCCUGUCUCGUCAGCAGUACACAGGACGAGGAUAGGGAGCCUCUCUCCGUCCUCAAAUCUCCAGAGAAAAAAUCUAUUAUUUCUCCAUCAGGACGGAGCAUCAGUGAUAUUUUCGGAAAGGUUGCUCAGGAGAAGAUUGCUAAAAACCGUACUACAGACAAACUUGGUCCCGGCCCAUCACCAUUCGCCGCGCGCCGGUCAGAGACAGAAGUCUUCUCUGCCAGGCGGCGUAGCUUCUUUACCGGAGAGCCGGAAAAAACAGAUAAGGCGGAGGACAGGAGCCCAGAGGAGGCGGAAGGAGACGGAGUAGUCCGCCGGGGCGGAGGAAAGGGAUUAGGCGGAGAUAUAUUGAAGGAGAUGAAGGUUAGACAGGAGCUGAAGAGAGCCAGUAUUAUUCCUAAAUCUGAGUCGUCAGUAGAUAAAUCUGAAGGAAAGGAAGAAGAGAAACCCUUCGGAAAUAUUCAUCUCAGAAACACGGGGUUAUCGACCAGUAUCUCUAAUCCAUCCAACCAGUCCCAACCUAGUCCAGAUUUACAGAAAAACUUCGUCGACGAACCCAAAACUUCGGAAACCGAGACGAUCAAGCAUUCGUCCUCGUCAAUUAUCGGACUUCGAGCCGCAGCAUUCGAGGCUGGGAAAAGUAAAAGCGAAGAUACUGAUGAACUCAAUAAACCCCGACCUCCGCCUAAACCUCGGCCUUGGAGUAUUGUCGGUGUCGAUCGAAAAUCCGGCGAAUAUACUCAACUUGAAUCCUCCGCCAUGGCGGAAGGUUCGAUUUCCGCGGAGAAGGAGGAGAACACCUCCGGUCCCGGAGCUAUUAGUAGUGUUCGGGACAGAAUUGCUAGUCUAAACAAACCCGACAGUCCUGGUUCAGCUAGCUCCGUAGCUCCAACCAAUAUUAGAGACAGGAUCGCAAACAUGAACAAGAACUCUGAACUAGAGGUGAACAAGAGGAAAGGGAACUCUCUACCCCGGAGUACGGAACCUGUAUCCAAGUCCCCUGGAACCAGACCGAAGAAUAGUCCUAAUAACAGGAAGAAGGAUUCAACCUCCGAUGAUCCUCGAAUACUCAAACUAGACGAUGAUUUUAUGUACGAUGACACCGUGAAUGUUUGAAUUUUUGAGUCUCUACUAAUUCCGAACUUCCUUCAGCGUUGAGUCCUAAACCUAUGUGAAACUAUGUAUACCUAUGGAAAAUUUCAGAUCAGUGAACGGCAGCAAUCUUUAGUCUUGAUCAUCACGAAUUAUGAAAGUUGUAAAAAGUUUGUUCUACCCAAAUGUAACAAUAAAAUUUAACCAACUAGUGUUGAAACUGAUUGUGAAAUUGAAUGUGCACCCCCUGAAAAAAAAUUGUGAAAACUGACAUAAAUCGUCAAACCCUUAUAUGUUCUGAUUGGCUGCAGUGUGUCUCUGGAUAACUACUACUCGCUUUAUACACUAGUUUUAGUCAUGUUUAUCUGGGACACCCUGUAGUUCUUAAAUAACUAUUUUUCUACUCGCCUGUAUACUCUGCUGUUACGAGGUAUUAUUUAAUUAUGCAUUUAUAUAUUAAUCAUUAUAUUGUUCAAUGCUGCAAAUAUAAACCUUGAUCUUCCUAA
rnacentral:misc_RNA from 1 species